rnacentral:hammerhead_ribozyme from 1 species
AGCUGGCAGAUGAGUCCCGAAUAGGACGAAAUAUGCGUCCUGGAU